CGCACCUUCAUCCUAGAUAGCUUCUUCAAUUUUUUUUUAAAACUGAAAUGGAACUCAAAUCUAUUUCUUCGCUGUCUUCUUCACUUUUAUAUUCAUUGUUGGGGGAAGUUAAAGAGGUCAAGGCGAUUUGAGAAUGAGUUAUGAAAGACAAGGAUUAAAGAGAAUUUGGUAAAAGAAAAGAGAAUGAAAUGGAAAAGGAAAGAAAAAUAAUGAGAAAGCAGAAUAAAUAAAAAAUGGUCUAUUGCAGUUGUUGGACCAAAAUGGCUUUUGAGAUUGAAGAAAGAGAAAAAGAUGAAGAGAAAGGAGAAAGAUGAAUAGAAAG
rnacentral:lncRNA from 1 species